ACUCGUAUCAUCUUUACCCCAUUUCCCUUCAGAACGAGCGGGGAACGGGCCAGAUGUUUGGCUGGUGCUAUGGAGUCGAGAAUGGGCAUCAAGUUAAUAUGAUCCCUGCUAUACGUAGUGAAAAAACCCCACGAGUAAUCAUCCGGAACACUGGGAAUUGGAAAGCUGUUAUAUUGUACGAUAUCUAUAUGGUGACACGGCAUACAUAUCCAAAAUAACACAAAAAGGAAAGAAAAAAAGUUGAGAAAUCCCAAGAAACUGCUCCAGGAUAAACAAUACGGCGGAAUGUCUAAAAGUAAGUAUGGAAAAAAAAAAUAAAAUAAAGAAAAAUAAAAAGGAGAGAAAUCAGCAGCCAACGUCCGAUACAACACACAAGAAACACCUAACGAAAUGCAAAGAAUGUAGAUUGGUGAGCCCUAUCGCGAUUUACCCCUAAGACUUGUCCGCAAUUCCAGAGUCCUCAAAACCAUCCUCACCCUCCUCCUCCUCUUCCACAAUCUCAAUCGCAGAAUCCGGCCGCCUCUUCCUUUUCUUUCCCCGCUGGAUCUCUACAUUCACAAACCUGUCGCAAGAAGGUGUAAUCGGCUCGCUCCCAACAGGGGCAAACCCAGACAUAUCGCCUUUCGGGGUGCUACAGUGUUCAUUGUCGCCAGAGCUAUCAUUUUGUCCAACUUGCAGGCUCUGGGGACUACCAAUGCCGCCGCCAUAUAAAGCAGACAUUCCCCGUUCCCAUUCCAUGAGUUCCUGAGCAGUGGCAGCAGCUCUUUCUCUCGCCGCAUGAAUGGUUUCCCGAGAAAAUAAUUGUUGUAGGGAGUGC
rnacentral:sRNA from 1 species